rnacentral:rRNA from 2 species
UACGUAGGCAGCAAGCGUUGUUCGGAAUUACUGGGCGUAAAGCGAGUGUAGGCGGUGCUAUAAGUUUGGUGUGAAAUCUCCCGGCUCAACUGGGAGGGUGCGCCGAAGACUGUAGUGCUAGAGUGUGGGAGAGGUAGGCGGAAUUCCUGGUGUAGCGGUGAAAUGCGUAGAUAUCAGGAGGAACACCUGCGGUGUAGACGGCUUACUGGACCACGACUGACGCUGAAACUCGAAAGUGUGGGGAGCAAACAGG